rnacentral:tRNA from 1 species
GCCUGGCUGGCUCAGUCACAGGAGCAUGUGACUCUUGAUCUCAGGGUUGUGAGUUUGAGCCCCACGUUGGGUG